UGAAAACAAUAUUGAAUUAAAAAACAUUUUACCAAAUUGUCAAACAUUAAAAUAGCUGAUGGUAUUGAUUGCAUCGGCCAUUAACUUCUAGGGGCAUUGUAAGUAUCUUGGAGAGAUUUUGCUAAUCCAGGAAAUUUUCAGACUUCUUGCAGUGUGCGUGUCUUUUGACCCAGCAAGUGCAUAAAAAAAAAUAGACUUUUAUUUUUUAGAGCAGUUUGGGGAUCACAGCAAAACUGAGCAGAAGCUACAGACAGUUCCCAUAUAAGCCUUGCUUCCACACACGUAUAGUCUUCUCCAUUGCCACAUCCCCUGGCCAGAGUGCUACAUUUGUUGCAAUUGAUGAAUCUACAUUGAUACAUCAUGAUCACACAGAGUGCGCACUUGACCUUACAGUUAACUCUUGGUGUUGUACAUGACAUAGAUUUUGCCAAAUGUAUAGUGACGUGCACCCACCAUCAUAGGAUCGUGCAGAGUAUUUUCACUCUCCUAAAAAUCCUCUCUUCUCUGCCUAUUUAUUCCCCCACUUCCCCGCCAUUACUCAUCUUCUUACUGUCGUCAUCAUAGCAACUGCAUUUUUCAGAAGGGAUCGUAAGGAAUCAUCAGGGGCAGACUCUCUGAUCAGCUGAGACGGUGUUGAUCACCAUAUGCAUCGCGAAGCUGGACAGAGGGAAUCGGCUUAGAGUCCAGUAAGCCUAUAUCUUGACUGCUGUCUCUGGGUCAAUUCUCCGAUGGUGAGACCACCACCCACCCUUGGCUUAGGGUCUGCUGGGGUGCUGCUGCACAACAUAUAUAGACAUCUUCAGGGACACACUCCACACGAUAACGUCUAACCAGCUAUCUGGGCUUCCCAUGGCCCGGUCAAGUUGACACAUCAAAUGAACCGUCACACACUUAGAGUUUUUAAGAGCUCAAAGACAGCUCAGGUCCUGUUACGUCAGGUGACCCCAUGUAGAGAGCAAGAUGGAGUCACUCAUGUCAAGCAGCGACUUGUGUCAAAGCAGUGAUGUAAGCAUCCAAGGGCAUUGUAGCUAUGACCAGGUGUCCCUGAAACCAGCACUGGCUGGAGACACCCCGGAACUGAUAACCGGCAGGAGCAGGGGAGGCCUGCAGGGGCUGAAGGCUGAUGACAUCCCUUUAAAAAGGGAGGGUUUUUGCAGCAAACUGUCAGACUCCUCGGACGUGACCCCUCUGUGUCUGACCACCUCAGAAAGGCAGCUGCGGCCAAAGACUCUGCCCGGUUCAUCUCCAACAGGAACAGAGACCUUCCCCUGCUUGGACAUAAUAAACAGUGAGCUCCGAGCGCCGACCCAGACCCGACGGAGGCCUUAUCUCAACCGCAUGCCCACAGGCUGACUUUGCGUUGGGUUCGUUAACUUCUUACGCCCUGUUCUACCUAACUUGCUGUGUAACUUGUCUCGUGCUUUGCUUUGGGUGACGUGUAAGAAGCCAAAUUAAAAGUGUAGUGCAAUGGGGGCGCCUGGGGGGCUCAGAUGGGUAAGCAUCUGACUUCGGCUGUGGUCAUGAUCUUGCAGUUCGUGGGUUCGAGCCCCGCUUUUGGCUCUGUGCUGACAGAUCGGAGCCUGGAUCCUGCUUCGAUUCUGUGUCUCCCCCUCUCUCUGCCCCUCCCCUGCUCAUGCUCUGUCUCUCUCAAAAAUAAUGCAUAAACGCAACAUAUUUUUUUUAAGUGUAGUGUAAUGUCACUGAGUUUGGAAUCCUGAAUCUGCUUCAUAACUAUGUUAACCUUGCCUUAUGACUGAAUAAAGCCAACAAUGGGAAAGACACCUCACGUGCCUUCAUGGUGGGCUCAUGAAACCCCACAACCUUCUUUGCUCAUUUAAAAGGUUUUCACCGGGGCGCCUGGGUGGCGCAGUCCCUUAAG